AUGAACGCUGGCGGCGUGCCUAAUACAUGCAAGUCGAGCGAACGGACGAGAAGCUUGCUUCUCUGAUGUUAGCGGCGGACGGGUGAGUAACACGUGGAUAACCUACCUAUAAGACUGGGAUAACUUCGGGAAACCGGAGCUAAUACCGGAUAAUAUUUUGAACCGCAUGGUUCAAAAGUGAAAGACGGUCUUGCUGUCACUUAUAGAUGGAUCCGCGCUGCAUUAGCUAGUUGGUAAGGUAACGGCUUACCAAGGCAACGAUGCAUAGCCGACCUGAGAGGGUGAUCGGCCACACUGGAACUGAGACACGGUCCAGACUCCUACGGGAGGCAGCAGUAGGGAAUCUUCCGCAAUGGGCGAAAGCCUGACGGAGCAACGCCGCGUGAGUGAUGAAGGUGUUCGGAUCGUAAAACUCUGUUAUUAGGGAAGAACAUAUGUGUAAGUAACUGUGCACAUCUUGACGGUACCUAAUCAGAAAGCCACGGCUAACUACGUG
rnacentral:rRNA from 1 species